AAACCCCCAUCAACCCCCUCCCUGUGAUACCAGAGAUUUUAUUCGUAUCUUAAAUCACCUUUUAAAAAUAUAUUUUUUAAAUUUUAAUAUUUUUUUAAUCUAAAGCACAAAAUACUUAGUUUUAAUUUGUCAGCAGACAACAAAUUGUUGAUUGAUUGUUUAAUUAAAGUUUUUUACUUGGGAUCAUUUUUAUAGAGAUGUAACUUUCUGUUUGUUGUACUUAAUUGCUCAAUUUUAAUUACCUGGUGUUUACACGAGAAGACAUUUUAUUCAACUCAAUUUCAAAGUAGUCUAAAUUUGAUAUCUUGAAGAUUAGUAUGUUAAAUACUAUAGAGAUUUUAAGGUCCUUGGUGCUAUUUCUAUGUUUAGAUAACCCAAUAUCUAGAAGCCUUUGAAACCUAGACAUUUUUCCUUGUUCUGAUGAAUUUGGGAUUCAAUUUUGUCUUAAAUACUUCAUAUAUCAUGUCUAUUAUCGUCAAAAAUUAAAUUGAAAACCAUCUUUCAUUGAUUUGUCUGUCCAUGUUACCAUGGUACUCUUUUCAUAAAUACUCAGUCUAUUAUAAUAACCUCCCCUCUUUGGUUCAGUCACUUGGCCAGAAUGAUAACAUUAUCAUGUCAUGGGUAUUCAUCUCAUCAAGUAUGUCUUGUUUGUUGUCAGACUUGAAAGUUUUAUUUGUUAUAGCGGGAUACGUUAUGUUUGUUAACUUUGAUAUUUUAUCAAAUUAUUAUUAAUCAAUUUUUUUAAAUAGAUAUAAAAAUGAGUGAUAAUUAUAUGUUGUUUAUGUUAAUCAAUGAUUAAAAAAAUUACUGUUAAAUGAAGGCAUUGUUAGCUUGUUUAAGGUAAAAUAAAGUGCCCAUGCAGUGUGAAAAUUUGUUCAUAUGUACACAUGUAUAUAUAUUUUUUGUUUGAUAUUUUUCUUUUUGAUGAAUUUGGCAUUCACACUGUCCUGAUAAAGAUGUCAUAUGAAGAUUGCUUGUUCAGUUUCUAUUGUGCAAUUAUUGUGCCAUUAUUUCAACUGAACGUGAGACAAUCAACAUUAAUACUGAAGAAUGUUCGCCAAAGUUACUGCAUCAAAUCGAUGUCAAAGUUUACUUUUAUAAAAGAAAUAAAACAACUGCAAUAAUU
rnacentral:misc_RNA from 1 species